UACGGGGGGGGCUAGCGUUGCUCGGAUUUACUGGGCGUAAAGGGCGCGUAGGCGGUCAGCACAAGUCAGUUGUGAAAUCUCCGGGCUUAACUCGGAAAGGUCAACUGAUACUGUGCGACUAGAGUGCGGAAGGGGCAACUGGAAUUCUCGGUGUAGCGGUGAAAUGCGUAGAUAUCGAGAGGAACACCUGCGGCGAAGGCGGGUUGCUGGGCCGACACUGACGCUGAUGCGCGAAAGCGUGGGGAGCAAACAGG
rnacentral:rRNA from 1 species